AAAAACUCCACACGUUGAUGCUACGUGAAAAAUCACGUAACCUCGAUUUUACCCUCACUAGGCCCGUUUUACGUGACGCACGUAAAAAUAAUGUGAAUGUGUUCUGGCAAAAAAAUAUGUUCACUUUGAAGUUACGUGGAACCCCUUAUAGUAUUUUUCCACUAGGUUUAUUCAUGUAGCUUUUAUGUGUUUUGAAAUGUAACUUCAACGAGACUCGAGUGCGCUAUUCUGUGAAAUUUCUACGUGAUUAUUUUAGUAUGAAAAUUGAUAGCGAACGGCAAAGGUCUGCAGCUGGAGUUGUUCUCGCCAAAUUUAUUUUAAAAUGGAACAGACGAAUCUGACCUCUGGAAGUAAUCAUCUUCAUUCCCAGCGGCCACAGGAAUUCUGGCCCGUUCCAACCUUAGCGGCCGGUGGUGCCGUGGUGCUCAACGCCACCGAAAAUUGCAUGGACAAGGCCAACGGGUUUAGCUGAGUGUUCUCCGGAGGAUUUCGAGUCUAGAUUGCACAACUCGUUCUUGAGCAUCCAGCUGGUGGUCAGAUUGUCUAGGCCGGAUGCGUUGCGAACGUCGUCCUGGCCUUGAAACGGGUUCCCGUGUGCAUGCAGGCCGGCAGAAUCGGCUAACUAAACCACUGGUAAAAUGGUCUCAUCGGUGUUUCCGAAAAAAUCUAAUCUUUAUAAUGUUUGUAAAUUAUUGAAAAAUAAACCAAGUUUGUGCAAAUUGAA